CCUACUUUCUCUCUCUAAAACCUUCCUCUGCACUCUCUCACUCUCCCGUACGCGACUCUCUCUUCUCUCUCGCAAUUUUCUCUCUCCUCUCGACAAAACCGCCAUUGCAGCUCCAAAAACAACCAAUCAACCUCUUUCGUCGCCGGUGUAUUAUUGAUUUAAGAUAACUAGAGCAGAAAACAAUACGAACGACUAAGCAAAACAAAAAUACGACAAAGAAGUAACAAUUCAAGAAGAUCCACAAGAAGAAAAUGAGAAUAAACGCACCAAAACAAUGGAGCAAAUUGUCCUGCAUCACUUCUGAACGACAUCAUGAGCAAUGUUGGGUAAUAUUUUAGGCUUUCUAUACUUUAGAACAUGAAGGUUGAGAAUGUAGAACAUGAAAGGUCACUAUUUAGAACAAAUACCUUAGUGACUGAAUAGUGACCUUCCUGUCUGUUGUUUGAUCGAUGCAUAAUUGAACAUCAGGUGUGUUUUAUGGUUCUGGUAGUUUGAUAUUCUUCCAAGAACUUUUAGGCAUGGUGAAGGAGAUUUUAUAAUUUAGAUGAUGAGUGGAUGAUAGUUUAAUGUUCUGAUUUUAAUGUAUAAGGUUGUUUAAUAUUUUUCAGUUUUGAAUGACAUAUUUGGUAUAGAACUCAUUACAUUAUUUGAGUGAUAUAUUGAUACUCAG